rnacentral:lncRNA from 1 species
AAAAAUCUAUGACUUUAUAUUCUAGUUUCCAGUUACCUACCCUUUUGAGUAAACAGAAUUUGGGCUUUAUGAGGUUUCAUUGUUUAUGUUUAAACGGUGCUUUACAAUAAGGAAAGCCUUUCAGCAAGUCAAAAAGGCAUGCCCCUAACAAAUGGAAACUCAGAGUCUUUCCCCCACUGCAGUGUGGUCAGGGGAAACCUUAGAAGACGAUACAUCUCAGAAGCAAGUAGCCGGCAUCCGUUUGUCGUGUAUUUCUUUUUGUCGAAGUAGGCAGCACGGCGGUUAAGGGCGGACAAAUCUCCAGGAUGGGAACUCUCUGGACGUGCGGGCUAGUGAUCGCCUGACCAGCAUCUUGCUUUUGCUCCAAGUGGCUCCACGGGGAACUGUUUGUGAUCAACAACAACAAGAAACCAAACCCUAUCCCCACCUUCUCUGGCAAUUUUGCAGAGGGUGGGAAAAGCAUUGCAUAUCAUUUGUGUGUUAUUAAGAAUGAGAUUCAAAGAUGGUUUCCUCUGUUUUGGAAAAAAAAAAAAAAAGAACACAUUUGGCAGCCUACAAACAAUAAACCAGUAGAGGAUUCAGAUUUUUUCCAAAAGGAUGAGAUGACUCCAAAACGAGAAUGUUUUCCAUUUUCCACUCCCUCCAACCCCAGGCAGAUGAUUUUGAACGUGCACUCUCCUCACACUGGCUUUGAAGAAGUCAGGACUUGCCAGAACUGUGGACUCGAGACGAAAGCCAAGCACAAGGGAAGGCGCUGUGGAGAGCAGGCCCGGACCCCCUGAGCAGGGAUUCCUGGGAGCAAAGCUGGCAGCGUGGGGAUUUCAAACAGCCACAGGUGCAGAGGGGCGCAGGGCAAGGGCUGGGGUGCAGGGAAGGGCCCUUCCGCCUCCAUGGACGUCGGUGCUCAGGCACAUCCGCUUAAGGGGGCCACUGCUGCCUAAAUCCAGGUAUUGAACUUGUCGGUUCCAGGAGAUCUCAGCACUGAAGGUGGGCAGACAGGCCUGCUGGUUCCCCCACGAAGGAGCAGAUCACCCCCCCCCACAAGCCCUGCCCAGGCACCAAGAGCAUGGGACUGUGGCCACCCAGUCUGAGGCACAGAGUACACAGUUACAGAGACAGCAGUGGUGGCAGAACUCUGAGAGGGGUUUGGAAGCCUUCAGUAGGAAUCAGCACAAUUUUGGCAGUGAGUUAGGGGCUGACUUCCUGAAGGGGCCAAAUGAGGUUAAAAUGGAUGACUUCUCCAAGGUUCCUCCUGCACUGGAAUCCUCCAAUGUGUGUGCUUUGUUUUGUGUGAGUGCUCUGUGUUUCCCCCUUCAAAGUGCAAGCUACAGGAGUUCCCAUCAUGGCUCAGGGGUAACGAACCCGACUAGUAUCCAUGAGGACGGAGGUUCGAUCCCUGGCCUCGCUCAGUGUCAGGGAUCCGGCAUUGCCAUGAGCUAUGUGAAGGUCGCAAGCACAGCUCGGAUCCCGCAUUGCUGUGGCUGUGGUGUAGGCUGGCAGCUGUAGCUCUGAUUCGACCCCUAGCCUGGGAACUUCCAUAUGUCACAGGUGCGACCCUAAAAAGACAAAAAAAAAAAAAAAAAAAAGUCCAAGCUACAAAGACAGUGAGGGCUGGGCCCUCCAUAUCGCUUGGAACUUUUGUCACCUACAUGUAGCUGUUAAUGUCAAAAAAAAAAAAAAGGAAAAAAAAGAAGAAGACAGAAGUGAAAUGACAUGUGUUCUAAAUUAGGCCACCAUGGGAUGGUAACAACAGUGAUUUCUUCAGCCAGAAGAAAGGCCUUGCUCAAAUAUUUGUUUGAGAAGGGAAAAUGUGAAAUUAGGAGGCAAAGAGAAGAAAAUUCCCGCCUAGAGAUAUGAAAAGAAAAGCAAUGUUUGUGAGACCAGAUAAUAACUAACUGAUUUGAAAAGAAGUCAAAGCAUUAGGUAAUGUGAAAUCCUGAGCCUUGACUGUAACAUAUAUUGCAUGUUUUUUUCCUAACUCAGUUUUGUCUGUAUGGCAUUCCGGCCAAAUGUUCUAACCAAAAGCCCUUGAGGAAAGACUGAACAUGAGACAAUAGUUCGUAAUUCAAUUCCAUCAGCAUUCACUGAAUGCUUACUACGUGCUCGACACUCUGUUUGGUGCUGUGGGGAAUGGGUAGGAAGCAGAAGACACAGCCAAUGCCUGUAAGAAGUUUGCCAUUUUGUUGGGAGAGAGACGCUUUCUAAACAUAGAACAAUUCAAUUCAAAAAUAAAGACAUAAUAAAGAACCAAGAGAAACAUACUUCGGUGCAUAGACGUGUGGUUCAGGCAAGAAUGGGCAACUCAACACCACCAAAAAUGCUGAGGAUGGUAAGGAGAGGUCAACAGGAUACAAAUAAAGUAGACUCCUGGGCUGUAGGAAGAAGGCCAGCCCAUGUCACCUUCUGAAACUGAUGUUAACGAGAAAAACCCCACAAGAGUACCAUCUGAAAACCAACAACAGACUGUGAGAAGAGCUUCUAAAAUCUCAACUGUAAGGCAUCAAUUUCAAAGGCUAACCAAUACCAACUCAACUAUCUAAUACUUUUGUGACAAAAGGUUUUUUGUUUGUUUGUUUGUCUGCUUUUUAGGACUGCUCCCACAGCAUAUGGAGAUUCCCAGGCUAGGGGUUGAAUCAGAGCUACAGCUGCAGGACUAUACCACAGCCACAGCAACACAGGAUCUGAGCCUCGUCUGCGACCCACACCACAGCUCAUGGCAACACCGGAUCCUUAACCCACUGAGCGAGGCCAGGGAUCGAACCUACAACCUCAUGGUUCCUAGUUGGAUCUGUUUCUGCUGCAUCAUGACGGGAAUUCCCGACAAAAGUUUUUGGAGUGUGAACAUAAGCAAACCUCAGAGAUCUUACUUCAAGCUAUCACUCACAGACCACCACAAUAAAGCAAACAUUGCAUACAAUAAAGCAAAUCACACAAAUUGUUUAUGGUUUCCAAGUGUGUCUAACAGUUGUGUUUACCCUAUAGUGUAGUCUAGUAAGUAUACAACAGUCCACUUACGUCUAAAAAAGCAAUGUGCGUAGUACCUUAAUUUAAACAUACUUUAUCACAAAAAAAUGCUAACCAUCAUCUGAACCUUCAAGUCAUAAUUUUUUUGCAAAGGUAACACCAAAGAUCACUGACCAGGAGUUCCCACUGUGGCACAACAGGAUUAGCGGCAUGCUGGGUGCACUAGGAUACAGCUUCCAUCCCCGGCCUGGUACAGUUGUGUUAAAGGAUCCAGUGUUGCCACAGCUGUGGCUUAGGUGGCAACUGUGGCGUGGAUCUGAUCCCUGGCCCAGGGAACUUCUAAUGCUACAGGGUGACCAAAAAAGAAAAAAAAAAAAAAAGAUUGCUGCUCACAUAACAAAUAUAUUAGUGAGCAUGCGUGCAGCACUGGCUACAAAAGCAGACCUGGUUUCCUUAGGCCAUCAGAAAAGCAGAUUUGGGAUCAGAACAGAGGCAACAACCCAGGUGCUACCCUUCUCACCCUCCCCCGGUUAUGAUCCCCUAAAAAAUAGUGGUUCCUGUAGCGUCCAUCACUUAUUACCCAUGUGGCCUUGGCGAUUACUUUCUCCCUCCAAGCCUCAGUUUCCUAAAUUGGGAAGAAGAAGAAUAAUACCUACCCUCACACUGGGGUUUGAUGAGGAUUGGAUUAGCUAAUCCACUGGAGUGCUUGGCCCAGGGCCUGCCAUUAGGCAGGAGCUCGGUAAAAGUGUGCUAUUGUUUUUGUUCCUCCUAAUAGCCUCUUGAUUGCCACUAAGGCCUACAUAAAUUGCUCAAAGUUUGGGCUUUGGACUCAGAGAGAUUAGAGUCUAAAUCCUGUGCUCUAUUUACUAGCUAUGUAACUUCAGGCAAAUCAGGCUAUUAUUAUUUACUGUUGUGGCUACAGGCCGCCAACUCGACACCUUGAUACUGGGAAAGGAAGCUAGAGGACAUAAGUCUUCCAGGCACUGGAAAGGCUUUCCUUCCUUGUUAAGGGAUAACCAGGUCUUCUGAAUGAUAACGUCCUCUGGGUCUAGUUAGUGGGUAUCCAUCCCCCUGGAUGAUCUGCAAGUUCCUGCCUCAGUGACCAGCCACCCUCUCUCGUCACCAUCUACCUGCUUCCUAAAAAGAAAGUUUUAGGCUCACAAAACUAGACGUCCAGAGGCAAGUGGCUUCGGGGCUGACGUAAUACCAUAAUCCCAGUUUCUUUUCCCUGCUCUUCUCUUUGUCCUGAUCUCCUCCCUGAGUUGACUUUAUCCUCCAGGGAGAUGUCUGCAGCACUUUCAGACCACAGGUCCACAUGUGACAGCAUCUUUGUGGGAAAGUCACCUCUUUCUUUCUUUCUUUUUUUAAGGGCCACGGGUGUGGCAUAUGGAGGUUCCCAGGCUAGGGGUCAAAUCGGAGCUGCAGCUGCCGGCCUCCACCACAGCCACCGCCACGCCAGAUCUGAACCGCGUCUGCAACCUACACCACAGCUCCCGGCAACGCCAGAUCCUUAACCCACUGAGCGAAGCCAGGGGUCGAACCCACAUCCUCAUGGAUCCUAGUCGGGUUUGUUUCCACUGAGCCAUUCUUUCUUAACAAUGAGGAAACUUUCCUUCCUCUCUAAUUAAUGUGCACUGAGUCAAGUGCCCAUUUCCAAAGGCAUCCUGGUAGGCAGGUAUAUCAGAACGCUGCAGGGCUGCAGCAUCACCAAGGUUAGCUUAGACGAGUUAGGCUCCACCCACUGAGGCUGGAAGGUCUCCGCAAAACUCUACUCGUGCUGAACAAUGCGAAAGAGGUAAAAUCAAUAGGAUAGAAGGACAUUAUCUCAAGCGUCGGAUAUGCACACUCCUUAAUGCUAGAGAUGGGGAAAACUAACCCUGCCACGAGUCACUGGCCACUCCCUAAAAGCCAGAUGAAGUCAAGGUCUACCCCAGUGACCUCUUUGGAACUAUAGUCAUAUCCGGAGUAACAGGAAUGUCACUGCCUGGAAAAACAGGGUCCUUUUCUAAAAUGGGCUUUCCCUUCUGGCCAGACUCCUUGGUCCAUAACUGCAGUUGAUAGGAUCUUUGGGAGAGGUUUCCUUGGCCUUUUGUUUGAAUGUUAUGCCCCCUUUAUGAUUCUAUACGUGAAGAGGAAACCAGCCCUUUCCAGCUAUGUCAGAACCCUGAUUAAUGCCUCGGUAGCAAGCACGACCCAAACCCCAGCAGGAAGCUACCAUGGCUCUCCCUUUGUUUGAAGGUGCUGGGUUAAAAAACACCAGCUGCAGUUUCAGAGGGCAGUAAGGAGGUCCCAGAAUUGGUUCCCCUCCUCACCCCUCGGGUUGAAGCGAAGCCGAAUCACCCUGAGAAAAACUAAGAUUCCUCCAAGCCGAGGGGGAGGACUCCAUGCAUUGGCACGGGCGAGGCUGAACUCGCAGAGUUCGGGGUGACACCCUGUUCUGGAUGGUGUGCGACCACAGGUCCGGCCUCAGGGUUUGGUUUCCACCCCUGGCUUCCUCGUUGACCUGUUUUUAAUUUUUUAAAACUCCCACCCCCCUUGCAGAACGCUUUCGGUUUUUGCCUGACCUCUGCCUGGUCUCCCUGGGCAGGUCGCCUGGGUCUCCCUCGGUGGCCAGGCUGCCUGAUGCCUAAUUGUCCCAAGAGACGGGAAGGCACCCUUUCCAUCUCUCCGGUUUGGGUCCGUUUUUACUGCCUCUCUCGAGUUAACCUCGAGGACUUUAAAAACAUCUUGGUAAAUGCAGAUGUGGAGGCUAGAUAGGAUUGUGGUCACCUUGGCCCUCAUUUUUCUUGCUGCUCACAGAGUAGGAAAAUUCAGUGCUGUUUUUGGACUUGACCCAACACCUUUUCUGUCCAGAAAGCCAAUAACUCACUCUCGGAGUGACUUGUUUGGCUCUGCCGGCUAUAUCACGUAUCAUAUAUUAUAGAUGAUAUAUCACUGUCAUUGGCAAAGUUAACGAAUGCCCAAACUCCUCUCCCAGAUCCGAGCACCGACGGCCAGAGGGAACCAGACAACAUCCGUGAGACAUGGUGGGCUGUGAAACCAAUCUGCAUUAUUUGAGGUGAAAGGGUGGACGCAAACAGACUUCCAAGUUUCUUGGCUUAGUAUCAGCAUCAUUGCUUUUGGACGGUAAAUACUUUGAAAGAUCGUAUUUUCUAUUACUUGGAAUUUGUUUUUCAAAUCAAGUGACUAUUGUGGACAGAACCUUAUGCUCGAUGUGGAAGGGACUACAAGGGUUUUAGCAAGGGACACACGCCAUAUACUUUGGAAGCCGUGAGCCCCAACCCCAGGGAGUCCAUGCUCUGUCAAAAGUAAUGGUAUAGAGCAGUCUGGAAGGACAGAAGCACAGAGGACUUUGCCCUUAGUUGAUGUGUAACAGCUUAAACUCAUUUCUAAGCAUUGCCCUGGGGCCCUUUCAUUCGGGACAAUGACAUACUCUGGGAGAGGUGAGGUGGAACACCAGGGACCAUCUAGAGUUAAAUGAAACCUUCUCAUUAACCCACUGCCAACCUGCGCCAAGGGCGCCCUGCUCAGUUGCUUGCUUCCUGUGGCUAAAUGUGCCCAAGCCGGGAGGCCCAAAGAGCCACUGCCCGGGGGUUUAUACGGCAGCUUGCGUUCUGAUGCAGAAG